UAGUGGCGGACGGGUGAGUAACGCGUGGGUAACCUGCCUCACACUGGGGGAUAACAGUUAGAAAUAGCUGCUAAUACCGCAUAAGCGCACGGUUCCGCAUGGAACAGUGUGAAAAACUCCGGUGGUAUGAGAUGGACCCGCGUCUGAUUAGGUAGUUGGUGGGGUAACGGCCUACCAAGCCGACGAUCAGUAGCCGACCUGAGAGGGUGACCGGCCACAUUGGGACUGAGACACGGCCCAGACUCC
rnacentral:rRNA from 1 species